GGGGUUUGUGAGUGGGCUCCAGCCACACACGACUUCGUGCCUGUGACGUUGGCUCCUCCAUCCGCCUCUUUCCUGGAGUGCAGCCUGAGUCACAGCUCGAAACUUCUCCCACCUUCUCCGGGUGGAGGGGGCUUCCCCAGUCUUGGGGUGCGCACCUCAGGCAACGACCCAUCCCUCACUCCCCUGUGCUGGGACUGCAUGGGAAGGUAAGCAACUAAGUGCUGCAAACAGUGUAGGGGCUGUCAGAGCUGGAGCUUCCCUCCAACCCUCCCAGGGUUCUGAGGGUUCACAAGAGACAGCCCCACUGCUUCGCCCUUGAUCUUAGAGCCCAGAAUCUCCAUCACCCACUACUCUUUCCAACUUUUCUGUGUCCAGCCAUGCAGGACUUCCCAACCCAGUCUCCAAACAUCUGCUUUCUUGUUCCAAGCUUUUGUGGACACCAUUUCCUCUUGCUUUAUUCCUCUGGAAAUGGCUUUUGGGAAUGCUUCCUCCUCCAGCAGCCUCCUCCUUUUCUCUGUGCUCAGCCCUGCCCUGUGUCCCAGCCUCAUCUCCUGCCUUGCUGUAAACCUUGGGGCGGCCUCACUGUAUCUGCCUUGGAAGGGCUCUCCAGUAGAUUCUCUGGGCAGCAGACAGUUGGGUGUGACAGAUGCUGCUGCUAUUUGCCAAACCUGUUUUUCCUCUUCUUCCUGGCCACACAGCUGGACUACACUCCUCAGCCUCCCUUGAAGUUGCAGUGAACUUAUGAUGGUUUGUUCUAACCACCGUAAUGUGAGUAAAAGUUAUGUUAUGUGCACUUUCUAGGCUAAGACUUCCCCUUUCCCUUAAAAAAAAUCAAUGUUAUCAACACAGAAUUUACAUACAAUGAAAAGCACCCUUUGAAAAUGUACAACUUGUAUAUCCCCAAUACCAGCUUGAUGAAUACCACUACUAGCACAAUCAACCUAUUGAACAUUUCCGUGACCCCAAAGGGCUUUCUCUUGCUUCACUGUAAUAAAUCCCUCCCACCCACAGGUGACUGCCUGAUCCACUGUAUGUUAUCGUAGAUUAGAUUUGCACAUUCACGGAUUUCAUAUACAUAAAAUCAUACAACAUGAAGUGGUCUGGGCUGGCUACUUUCGCUUCACAUGUUUUAAAAUGCAUUCAUGUUGUUGUGUAUAUCUGUGGUUUUUACCUUUUUAGGCUGGGAUUACAGGCACCCGCCACCACGUCCAGCUAAUUUUUGUAUUUUUAGUAGAGAUGGGGUCUUGCCAUGUUGGCCAGGCUGGUCUUGAACUCCCGACCUCAGGCGAUCUGCUCACCUCAGCCUCCCAAAGUGCUGGGAUUACAGGCAUAAGCCAC
rnacentral:lncRNA from 1 species